GCGCGCAGUCCCUCUAUGUUUUGCCUCUUUCACUCUAUUGUGGAAAACUUACAAUGAACCCCACUUUCACUAUCUACUCUCUCAACAAAUCCCAUUUCUUUCUCUUUCUCACAAUCUCUCUAUCCCACGGUCUCCCUCUAUCUUUCUAUCUCAACAAACCCUUGUGUAAUAACUUUUUACCUUGUACCUGUGGAGAAGAAAAUAGCUGUGAACAAUUUCACAGUUUCUCUUUCUUGCGAAACAAGUUGCGGUAUUGGGGCAGUUUGGAACACAACAAAGGUAGAACCAGGUUCCAUUAUUGUUGUUUUUGACUUGGGGACCGUUGGCCUUGCAGUAAGUUAUCUGGAAACACCUCCUGACUACUAUCAUGAUUCUGCACCGAUUGCUGAGGAGACUCUAAGAGGGAGAAACAGAAGACCAAAGUCAGUGGCACAUUAUAUGAUGGACAGUCCAGAUGACAUUAUAUAUGAUUCCUCCAAGGCCUCGUUCGCUUCUCGAUAAGUUAUUUAUUUGGAAUUUUCUACGGAAAGUUAUAAGCGACACGAAUUCGGUUGAUAGAGCUGACUGCAUAUUCGAACCUUUCAAAGAAGUGAGGUACCAUGCCAAGAGGUCGGCCUAAGGAUCAACACAAGGCUCCAAUAGAGAAUGCAUACUUAUGGGAAGAAAUCAAUGAAUUAAAGUAAUCUUACAAUAUCAUACAAGGCAUGAUGAAAGAGGUGUUACGUAGACUCCCCGAGCAAGCCUCUACAAGCAAUCCUACCGGUACAACUGUAUUUAUGGAGCAAACAUUUGAAGAACCGAACACAUCUAACAAAGUGGAUCAUUCUGACACAUCAAGUUCUACGAGAGAAGCAUCACCAAGAUCAACACCUUUGCGACAAAAGCAUUCAUGUUGAUGUUUCUGACUUUGACGGCUUUAAGCUUUUAGCGCCGUUACCUCAUUCACAAGAAGUUUGUACUAUACUAUGAUCAUGAAGCUCUUCGUUUUCUAAGUGCUCAAAAAAAGCUCAAUGCUAGACAUGCCAAGUGUUUCUUACCUCCAAGAGUAUACAUUUGCAAUUCAUCACAAGUUGGGCACUAAGAAUAAAGUAGCUGAUGCACUCAGUCGAAAUGUUUGUCUUUUGAAAACUUUAUCCUUUGAAAUAACUGGGUUUGAUCUUUUACCAGAAAAUUGUAAGACUAACCCUUACUUUGGUAAGAUAUGGGAUGAAUGCAAAGCUAAGAAAAAUGAUAAAUUCAACA